rnacentral:lncRNA from 1 species
GAAACCAAUCCAAGUACCCAACUGCUCUCUAUCCUCGGUUUGGUUUCACCUUGUUUGUUAAAUGGGGAGUUUGCUGAUUUACAGUUACGGAUCACUUCUUGCACGUUUGUUUGACAGGCGAUCAUCUGGCUCUGAGGCAUGAGAUGAUCUUUGCGGCCCACUAGGGCUCGUUGGACUUUCGUCUAAUGGAGACAUCACAGCAGUUCUGUCGCUGUCUGUCUCGUUUGCCUUUAAGACGGCAGCUUCUGUGCCAAUCGAAUCUCGAACUGCAUCAGAAGCCAGCACGGCGCCUGCUGCAUU